rnacentral:rRNA from 1 species
AUUGAACGCUAGCGGGAUGCUUUACACAUGCAAGUCGAACGGAGUGGCGGACGGGUGAGGAAUAUAUCGGACCGUGCCCAGUAGAGGGGGAUAACUACUCGAAAGAGUGGCUAAUACCGCAUAAUAUUGGAGCGGCCGAUAUCGGAUUAGCUAGUUGGUGGGGUAAAGGCUCACCAAGGCAACGCUCCGUAGCUGGUUUGAGAGGCAGACCAGCCACAGUGGGACUGAGACACGGCCCAUACUCGUACGAGAGGCAGCAGUGAGGAAUUGUGGACAAUGGGGGAAACCCUGAGCCAGCCCGCCCGCGUGUAGGAUGAAGGCCUUCGGGUUGUAAAGUACAUUUGGCAGAGAAGCGGUAUCUGCCAAAGGAGCGCCGGCGAACUACGUGCCAGCAGCCGCGGUAAUAC